UGAGGAAUAUUGGUCAAUGGACGAGAGUCUGAACCAGCCAAGUAGCGUGAAGGAUGACUGCCCUAUGGGUUGUAAACUUCUUUUAUAUGGGAAUAAAGUAUUCCACGUGUGGGAUUUUGUAUGUACCAUAUGAAUAAGGAUCGGCUAACUCCGUGCCAGCAGCCGCGGUAAUACGGAGGAUCCGAGCGUUAUCCGGAUUUAUUGGGUUUAAAGGGAGCGUAGAUGGGUUGUUAAGUCAGUUGUGAAAGUUUGCGGCUCAACCGUAAAAUUGCAAUUGAUACUGGCAGUCUUGAGUACAGUUGAGGUAGGCGGAAUUCGUGGUGUAGCGGUGAAAUGCUUAGAUAUCACGAAGAACUCCGAUUGCGAAGGCAGCUUACUAAACUGCCACUGACAUUGAUGCUCGAAAGUGUGGGUAUCAAACAGG
rnacentral:rRNA from 1 species